rnacentral:lncRNA from 1 species
GAGGCAUUCCUGGAGUCUCUCUGAAUCUGCUGUGAUUCUGGAGGCUGCCCGAUUCAUGAAUCUUUGUUUUUUUCUUGCUUAAUUAUACUUUGUUAAAUUUAAUUUGUCUGAAGUUUUCUUUUAACAGAUCUGGCUUCAAAAGUGGGAUUCGAAGUAAAACUUUGGCAACCCCCAGGAACACUAGGUGACCAGGCAAGGUACCUGUGGAGCCCAUUGUGCUCACUACUCUCUUGAUUGUAACUGGAGGACAUGGGCAUUGCAUCAGGACUGAAUAACACAACAGUUUCCUCAAAAUUCUACUCUCAUUCAUAUACUUCCACCAGGUAAAGAAAGCUUUUCAAGAUCCACCAACUGAGGAUAAUCAAACCUUCCAUGAUCUGGAACCUGGAGACUGAGUCUUCUGGAAAUGACAUCACAGGAAGACUACUCUCAUUGGAAGGGACUAUACCAAGUCCUUCUCAUCACCUAUACCACAGUGAAGCUUCAGGGCCUUGAAUCUUGGGUCCAUGUCUCACAACUCAAAAGGGCUCCUUUCAAACUCCUGGAACUGUACACCUGUUGGAGACUUUCAGGCUUCCAUUGAAAGUUGAAUGGUCUCACCCCAACUGGGUCAGCAAGUACAUAAAGAAUCAUUCAGCUGGUACAAAAUGUGACUUGUGAAUUCCACAUUGACACCAAAGAAGACCUGUGAAGCACCAUACUAAAACUAAAGAAGACCUGUGAAUUCUACACUGAGACCAAAUAAGUCUUUAUGAUGGUGACAGAGAGUGGCAUCGAUGCCUAAAGUUUUGGCCAAUCUCUCUAAAUUGAGAGGGUGAUCAAAAGGGAGGAAUUGUUAAAGUGAACUAAAUAUGGCCUAAGAAGGACUCUGUACUUCUAUAUUUGAGUCCUUGUGGAUGAACCAUAAUCUAAUUGGAUUGGUAGACAAGAUUAAAAACCUAACUUAGGAGAAUGCAUCUGUAACAGUUGCUGAAUCUUGGCCAAUCCCAGCGGACAUACUUCAACCAAUUAUACACUGUUGAUUGUUCAGACUGUGUUCAAAUAAGGCAAACGCCAACCUGUAACCAAGUCAGCUGUUUCUGUACCUCACUUCUAAUUUCUGUAUGUCACUUUCCCUUUUUAUCUAUAAAUUUGCUCUAACCACGGGGCAUCCCUGGAAUCUCUCUGAAUCUGUUGUGAUUCUGGAGGCUUCCUGAUUCAUGAACCGUUUUUUUUUUCUUGCUCAAUUAAACUCUGUUAAAUUUAAUUUGCCUAAAGUUUUCUUUUAACAGAUC